CCCACUUGUUCUCCAGCCGGUUGGAGGGACGCGUCCAGUGUGUUCACUAGAUCUAGCCGUUGGUCCCUCGAAUCUGCUCGCGCUCGGCAGCGGCGGCGCAGACGGCAGGAGGUGUCUGGUCAGCGGGUUGCGGAGGAUCGUGCGGGUAGCAAAGGGAGGGCGAGUGCCCCUUCAGUCCCAGACAGCAGCCAGUCACCUACUCCCAUAGCAUUCGUCUUUGAGUGUCUGUGCUUCUGGAAGGAGGAGACAGCGCCACCUGUUCUAUGUUAACCUGAAGACAGAAUAUCCAGGUGAGCCUGUCUCGGAGUAUUUGUAUUUGGCUAAAUUGAUCACCUGCCGCCAAAGCUCUUGCAUACCCUCCCUCCAAGCACUGCAGCAACCUGGUCUGGUGUGUACGCUCUUUCCAGCCAAAGAAGUUAUUUGCUGUCAUCAACUCUUGUUGGGGACAAGUCAUGGGAAGAUUGGAAGUAGAGAAGUCAUGGAACAGAAUGGAGAACUCAGAAAUAAACCCAUGCUUAUAUGGUCAGUUAAUCCACAACAAAGGAUGUAAAUAUAUACAAUAGGGAAUAUAUAGUCUCUUUAUAAAUGGUGCUGGAAAAACUGGACAGCUACAUGCAAAAGAAUAAAAUUGGACCACUUUCUUAUACCAUACACAAAA